AUUUGGUGUCCCCAAUCACUUAAAACGCGACACGUGUCCAGCUGAGAAAUUGAUAGGAUUGGGAGUUGAGUUUGACGGUUCCGUCUUCUGCCGUUUAGAAUAACCGUAUCUGACCUAUAAUCGUAUUAGAGAAGACCCUCAACUAGUCUCAGAUCUAUAUUCAAAGAAAAGGCUGAAGCAAGAGAAGAAACCCCGAUUCUCUCACAAGAGAACUGCACAAGGCGGCGCCGGUAAGAAUCGCCGUUUGCGAGUUUUCAAAUUUGCCGUAUUUUCCCCUCCCAGCCUCCCAGAAAGACACCCAGGUUUCUAAUCUUGCAUGGAGCAAGAAUGUGAAUGAGAUAGUUAGCACUUAUGGAUAUUCCGGAAAUCAAAUUAUGGUCUGGAAGUAUCCAUCCAUGUCAAAGGUUCUGCUUGGACGAACUCAAGUCCGAUGAAACUCUCUAGCAUCAUGUAAAGUUAUUGAGGUUUUUGGUAGUAGGAUGAAUUCAGAUUCAAGGAGAUUAGUGUGCAAUUUUGUUUUCUUUUCACUUCAGGAUGUUUCAAUAUAUGUAGUGUUGCCUGACACAUGACCAUUAAGAGAUUUGAAUAUAUAUAUUAGUUUUUUACAUUUU